rnacentral:rRNA from 1 species
AUUGAACGCUGGCGGCAGGCCUAACACAUGCAAGUCGAGCGGAUGAAGGGAGCUUGCUCCUGGAUUCAGCGGCGGACGGGUGAGUAAUGCCUAGGAAUCUGCCGGGUAGUGGGGGAUAACGUCCGGAAACGGGCGCUAUUACCGCAUCCGUCCUGAGGGAGAAAGUGGGGGAUCUUCGGACCUCACGCUACCAGAUGAGCCUAGGUCGGAUUAGCUAGUUGGUGGGGUAAAGGCCUACCAAGGCGACGAUCCGUAACUGGUCUGAGAGGAUGAUCAGUCACACUGGAACUGAGACACGGUCCAGACUCCUACGGGAGGCAGCAGUGGGGAAUAUUGGACAAUGGGCGAAAGCCUGAUCCAGCCAUGCCGCGUGUGUGAAGAAGGUCUUCGGAUUGUAAAGCACUUUAAGUUGGGAGGAAGGGCAGUAAGUUAAUACCUUGCUGUUUUGACGUUACCAACAGAAUAAGCACCGGCUAACUUCGUG